CAGGGAUGACUAGGACUCCUCCUUGAUUAUAGAAAAUCCCAGAGACCAGUAGAGGAGACAAGUGCUUGAGAAAAAUGACAAAACUGUUAUGUUAAGUAGUGAAUCUCCUCUUUUCCUCAGGCCCACUUUGGCCUCUGACAGUACGGAGUUGACGAGUCAGCCUCUUUUUAUGUGAAAACAUCUAUCAUGUCUCCCCAAAGACUUGACUAAACAUUCUUCUGAUAUGAGUGAGCUCUUCCCAAGAACAACCUCAUUUGCUGGAAGAUGUGGUUUUCGUAAGAGUCUGAAACUACUGCACUAUCCUGUCCUGCUAUUUGGUCAUACUUCUCUGGUGACAUUCUGGACUUGGCACAAUAGACGUGCCCUCACAUGCAGGUAUCUAGCCUUUUCUAGAAAGGUUUUAAAUUCAUUUCCUAGGAAUAAAGUCAAGCCCUUGAGAGACUCAUGAAUUCUCUAGGUUCUCAUUUUACAAGUCAACUCUAGGGAAUAUUACUUUAAUCUACCUUUGCUGAAAACUCUAGGAAAACUGCUUUUCAAUUCCUUUUUCUAGUGAACAGCAUUCCAAUACUUAAUCCUUACAGACUUUCAGAGGUACUCCCUUACAUCACCCACAGUAGAAGUAACACGAGAAGGCACACAGUCAUCUCUUGCGUCCACGUCCUAUCAGUGCCUUUGCAUUGUUGACAAGUGAUGGGUGGGCUCUGACAUCAGGAGUUGCAAAUGGCUGAUGAUUCAGAUGAUCGCUUGCUAAGUAAAUCUGGGUAAACCCUCAAAAUGCAAUGUUUAUUUUUUCUCCUGACCACAAUAAUCAGAAAAUACCCCUGGAUUAUAAGAAUCAUUAUAAACAGGCUUUCUCUGGCUCACUACUCACAUACCAGAAUUGGGCUAACUCCACUGAAGACUUGCCUACUCUGAAAGGAUUGGAGUAUUUCUGACAAGCUUAUACAUGUUCACCUCUUCCUAGUAUCACCUUCAUUGCUAUCAUGUCUACUAUAAUUAUCAUGAAUUGGAAACCAUGCAGAACAUUUUGCAUAUAUUAUAUAAUGUAAUCUCCCAAUAACAUUUAAGGCAGAUGCUAUGAAAAUUUCCACUUCACUUAUGAAUAAACUGAGUCUCAUGCCCAUGGCCAUAGAGUAAGUACAUAGCAUAGCCCUUAUUUUAAAAACUUUUCAUCAUAGAAAACAUCUCUUCCUUUCUCCAGUGACCCUCUGUGUGAACUCCUGCUUAAUCUCCAGCUACAUGGGUUCCCAAGUCAUUUCAGGGAUGUUUCCCUUUGAAAUGGCUUUUGGGUUUAUAGGUUCUCCUUAUCUCUGUUCUUCAGUGUC
rnacentral:lncRNA from 1 species